AUGCCUUCCGUCAGCUUUUCGAUGAAACUACCUUUAUUCAAAAAAGAAAGAAGAGAAAUGAGAACUCUCUCCUCCACAACUCCCUCACCAUAGAUGUAUUCGUCCAGCUAAUUUAUAAGUUGCUAAUUUAUAAGUUAAUUUUGAAACCCGAUGGAACCAGCUCUUCGUCCUUGGAACCGAUGCUGUAUACUCCGUACCAAUGAUCACUUCAUCGAUAUCAUCGAUUCGAUCAGAUUGAUUGCGAUAAUGAUCAUUAUUAACUUGAUGAGGAACCAGAUCGAGCGAGCCAUCGGAGGUUUAGCUGGCUUUCUUCUAGGGGAUGCACGGAGUUGGGAAGCUAGCUUUACGGUAGGCGUUGCAAUAUUUGGCAUUAGCUGUUACUGCCUGAAGGCCUGCGUGGAAACUGUGAGAGCUCAACUUCUUCGAGGUAUCAGAUCCACUGACAAGGAAGGAUUAUAGAAUUUGGUCUGGUGCUGAAAUCUUGUUCAUUCUUCUGAUAUUAGUAUCCACGAACUAGUGCUAGCUAGACCCGACAAUUAUGUUAGGAUUAUAGAACACGAUAUGAAUUGAAUUCUUGAUGUUUUAUAUCACGUUCGUAAAUGUUAUUUUGUAGUAUUAUAAAUGUGAUUCAAAAUUAUACCCUCA